GCGGGAGAUCCUAGAGCGAGCGCAUACCUAUUCAGAAGCUUCUCCGGAUCGGGACAACUUUAGCG
rnacentral:sRNA from 1 species